CAACAACAACAACCCAGUAUAAUCCGACUUAGUGGGGUCUGGGGAGGGUAGUAUGUACGCAGACCUUAUCCCUACCCUUGGGUAGAGAGGCUGUUUCCAAAUAGACCCCCGGCAUCUUCCNNNNNNNNNNNNNNNNNNNNNNNNNNNNNNNNNNNNNNNNNNNNNNNNNNNNNNNNNNNNNNNNNNNNNNNNNNNNNCUCCAAGAACUUCCCACCUUGCUCUUGGGGAGACUUGAACUCACAACCUCUCGGUUGGAAGUGGGGGUUGCUUACCAUCAGAGCAACCCUUUUUGUCUCAUCAUGUCAAGACUAAUCUAAAGAUUUUGUCAUUUAACAAUAUGGGCAACUUCUAACAUCUCUUAGAUUAUCUUUUCUCGGAAAGGGAGGUUGCAUUUCUUAUUAAUCAGAAUCUCUUCUAUUGAAUUGUGAAUUGCCCUCAUUGUGCAGAUCUAUUGACCAAAGACUACAACUAUGAUCAGAAGUUCUCCUUCUCUAUUCCGAGCUCCAGUGGAGUGGUACUAGCUUAUAUCAUUCUUUCAUUUAGUUUACUUGGUCUGUCACUAUUGGGCUUCAGAAAGCUGUCAAACUUCUCCACUUGCACAUCUUAUCUGUUUUUAUUUAUUGUAGUUUGUUUAUUAGUUAUGGGAUACAGACGUAUACUCUAUUUACGAAAUCAUCCAUUUGCUCUGAAAUUCAUUAUAAUGUGGCGUCCAGUUUGAGAGUCUGAUGUCCUAGAAUUUUCAAAUGUGAAAAAUGUUUGCUGGGGCUUUAAGCGCAAGGCGUAGUUAGUGCAUGAAAUAUGAUGAAUAAGACGCUAAUGAAGAAAAAUAAACUAUAAUGUGUGGAAUGUAAGAAGAUAACUAUAUACACAAACUAUCAUAUUUUGGAUAAUGUAAAACUCCCUCGAAAAGCGAAAAGGUACACAUAAAAUAGAACAGAGGGAGUAUUAUAAAACAAACAUAUGAAGUAUAGGAUCAUGUGAAUGAAGUUCAAAACCAUUUUAAAUUGGGGAAUUACUAGCUAUGUCCAUUUAUAAGUAGCUCAUUACAAAAACUGGCCAAUUAAUAAAAUUAGGGGUGUUCAAAACCGAUCCGAAACCGAAAACCGAUCCAAAUCGAAGCUUAACGACUUACUGGUAACGGCUUAACGGACGGGGAACGGAUUGAAUUAUUUUUAUUAACGGCUUAUCGGUUUGGGGAUUGUUUAUUCAAUUUUCUUAACGGCUAAUCCGUUAACCCGUUAAGAAUAUAAAUAUAUAUUAUAUAUNNNNNNNNNNNNNNNNNNNNNNNNNNNNNNNNNNNNNNNNNNNNNNNNNNNNNNNNNNNNNNNNNNNNNNNNNNNNNNNNNNNNNNNNNNNNNNNNNNNNNNNNNNNNNNNNNNNNNNNNNNNNNNNNNNNNNNNNNNNNNNNNNNNNNNNNNNNNNNAUAUAUAUAUAUAUAUAUAUAUAUAUAUAUAAUUUAUUUUUAUUUAUAUAUAUUAAAUAUAAAAAAAUUAAAACCUUUGAAAAUGAUUAACAAAAAGUUUAUUUCUGCUUCUAAGCAUUUUUAUUCCGGGAUCUAGAAAUUUUUUGGUUCUAUUUUUAAUUUAUUUUUGGUUGUAAUCCUCAUGUUUGGCAACAUGUCGGAGAUGGUAAAGCUAAUUUCCUAUCAUGAAAAUCAAAUUGAGUGGCUCUGGCAAAGAAAAUUGAAUGCAUCAUAUUGCCUCUAAAGUAUUAUUUUAUAUGGAAAUUCAUUAUUUCUAAGACGAGGAGAAUAAGAGAUAUUUAGUGAACAUGUAUGUUAGGCCGAUAAACCGCCCAUUAACCGCUAUAUAAGAGCUAACCCGAUACCAAUCCGCCCGAUAUCUUAUCCGGUGGCUAACUGAUUAAUACAUUUAAACUAAAGCUAAUUUCCUAAUCGCGGAAAUCAAAUUGAGUGGCUAUGGCAAAGAAAAUUGAAUGCAUCAUAUUGCCUCAAAAAUAUGAUUUUUUAUGGCAAUUCAUUAUUUCUAAGACGAGGAGAAUAAGAGAUAUUUAGUGAACAUGUAUGUUAGGCCGAUAAACCGCGCAUUAACCACCCUAUAAGAGCUAACCCGAUACCAAUCCGCCCGAUAUCUUAUCGGGUGGCUAACAGAUUAAUACAUUUGAAAGCCGAUAACUGUUAAGCCAAACCGUUAAGAGUAAAAAGUCGCCCAAUCCGCCCGAUAAGCACCCCUAGAUAAAAUAUUACUAAUAUUAGCCAAAUUAGCCAAUUAGCUAUUUGUAGCAAAAAAAUCAAAUUUUUGAUUUGUUUUGAGUGGGUGUUAUUCGAAUAGAUUGUGCACAACUUAAGGAGCUUGAAUAUCAGUUUUGAGAUGAUUUGGUUAAGUUUUGAGGUGGUUUGAAUUGAAAAUUCGAAGUAAAAGCUGAUCCUGAAAAAACAUGAUAUGUGUAUCACACUGUGUAUCAUUUGUAUAUCACACAUGUAUCAAUUGUGUAUCACAUGUAUAUCCAUGUAUACUUGUGUUUGAGAUAUAUGCUUGAUACAUGUUUGAUACAUGUAUCACAGAGGACUUUUUCGAACUUGAUUUAAUUACGAAUUUUGAUGCAAAAUCAGUCCAAAUCACCUCCAAUCUUCCUCAAAUUUUGUAUAUUGACUUAUUUAUAUAUUUUCAAUGAAUUUCAUCUAUACCCAUAGAAAAAUUCCCUUUUUGUUUAGAUUUUUGGAAUAUUGUAUAGAUUUUUAUAUUCCAUUACCUUAUUUGCUACCCCGUCUAUGAUAUUUCCUUUUCAUCUUGUAUCUAAUGUUGCUAAUCACGCUUAAAAAUAUGGAAGCUGACUUUUGCAUGUGAUUCUUUGAUAGGAAGAACCCUAUUAAUUAGUUUUUCAAUUGUGUUAGCUAGUUUUGGUAAGUCUAUGACUAAUAGCUAGAGGUUGGUAAGUUAAGAUUUAUUUGGGACAUUUGUGUAAGUUUCCCUUUUAAAUUUCUAAUAUAGAUGUAAAGAUGUAGUUUUAUGUUUUUACUAAUUAGUUUUCUCAUAAUAAAUUCUAUUUUUUAACAACAACAACAACAAUAACAUACCCAUUAUUAUUCCACACCGUGGGGUCUGGGGAGAGUAGUGUGUACGCGGACCUUACCCCUACCUUGAGGUUGUUUCCAAUAGACCAUCGGCUCAGGAAAGCAUACGCACCACAUUAAUAAAAAGAUAUACUAAGUGUUAAUUCUAUGUUGUUAUUCCUAGUAUGAUACUUUGUCAACUAUAUCUAUUGUCCAGUGUUGCCCUCUUAGAGGCAGAGCUGGUGGCAUGAGUGACAUGCCUUGAUGCCUGCACUAAGGUACCAGAUAAGCAAGGUGAGGUGCUCAACUGCGCAUCAGUAGCUUCAGGGUUUGUGCGCCUCUACCAAGCCUGUAACUAUACACCUUUUUUCGUUUAAUAGUGUAACUGAUGUUCAUUAGUGCAUUUAAAUUUAAUAGAAAACGAGGAGAGUUUAAAAGUUAUAUAGUCCUACACUAUCACACUUCCAUGUGCCUAUUAAUAGGGGUAUAUCCAUAAACCAUCCUGUAGGGUUAAAUUAGCAGAUUGUACUCCAUCUAAGAAUGGAUGUGAGUGUGUAUAUAGCAGAGACAAUUUUUCUGUUGAAUUUUGGUAAGGCAUUUAAUCUUGUUUACUCAUGCCAUGUUAUUUUGGUACAUUUGUAGUAUUCCAAAUAGUCCUAAUUAUCAGGUAAGAGAUUUUCUAUUCCACACAUGGCUGACCACUGAUACAGUAAUAAUUAGCACAUUUUCUAUUUAAUAAUUGGUGUAGAUGAAGGGGUAUACGAGGGAGCAGAGUAGGUCAAGGGGGCAAUAGUGACAUUUUAUGAAUGUCGAGAUAAAGAGGAGGUAAGUUGGAGAUUAAAGUUGGGUGGUAGCAUUCAAUCAAAUAGGAGAAAUAAGUAGGGAGUGAUUGGAGAGAGUGAUGAGGGAAGAUAAGGUUAGGAAGGCUAGUUGUACAGGUGAUAAGGCCCUGAGAUCGAAUGGAUUCACCUUGGCUUCUUCCAGACAGUGUUGGAGUACUAUCGGAGAAGAGGUUAUUGAGAUCAUCGCUGCAUUUUGGGAGACAGGAGAAUUUGAAAAAAGCAUUAAUGCAUACUUCAUACCCAUAAUACUGAAAAAGGAGGAAGCACUAAUGCACAUGCUAUAUAAUUUUUCGAGGAAUUUAUUUUAUUAGAAGCUUGCUUGAUCCAAGUGCUUCAUUGGCUAAUAUAACAGGUUACAUUUGCUAAUGCAGCUCGUUUCUGCUUGAUUAUGUUGUUCCAUUAGGUAAUGUAUAUCCAUUUGAAAUUGAUCUUGAAAUGCUUCAUACAUUUGCAUAAGAUUGCAAUUUGUUUGGUAUUGAUGGGGGUGAAUUUGUUGGUAAUCAUACUUGGUAUGCUUUCAUCUGUUGUAAGUUUGAACUUUUUUUUUUUUUUUGAUGAAGUAAGGUAUUUCAUUAUAGGCAUCAAGAAGAUGCAGAAGGUUACAAUAGAAACUUGGUUAACUCUUAGUACAAAAAACUAUUCUAGAUCAGGGAGUUAACCAAGAGCAAAAGGUAAUGGUUUCUAAACCAUUGAUAGAGAGCUAAUGAAAUCUAUGAGGGGGAUAAUAUCAUUUACAGGGGAAAGGUUACUACAGCUGAAAAGACUCAUCAAACAUUUAGACUUCAGGUGACAGUUGGAAGUUGAAAUGCCAUCAAAACAUCUGCAAUUCUCUCUGUCCAUAUACUCCAAAAAAUACAAGCUGGGAUCAUUUGCCAGAACUUCUUGAUGGAUCUAUCAACUUCCCAAAGGUUCCAGCAGCACCUAUUUGCCAACUGAAAGUUCCUUCUGCAUAGGUUUUUCCUGGGUCAAAAUAGCUUCCUUGAGGGCUGUCCAGGAGAAGCACAUUACUUUUGUAGGGAGUUUUGUCUUCCAUAUCAGCUUCCAUGGCCAAUGUGCAAUCAUAUCGUUAGAUGCACUUAGUUUACUAUAUCCUGCCUUCACUGUGUAGAUACCCUUUUCAGAAUUGCCUCACCUUAAGCUGUCUGAGACUUAGAGGCACUAUAGUUUCGUCAAGUACUCUGUAUAGGUCAAAUAACUGAUUUAGCUCCCAAUCUUGCAUGUUUCUUCUGAAGUGGGGAUCCCAUGUGUUCCGUGCUCUAUUUUGAGCUAAUGAAGAGUCAGGGUCUGAAGCAAUCUGAUAGAGACCAGGUUGUGAAUCUUGCAGAGGUUGAUUGUUGAGCCAUCCAUCCUUCUAGAAUUUAAUGUUGUCGCCAUUCCCAAUCUUGAAGGAUAUCUCUUGAAAGAAUGUAUCUUUCAGAUUGUUGAUGUGCUUCCAUGGGCCAACUCCAUGUGGGGCUCUGCUUUGCUUGGUGCACCACCUGUCUUGCACCUCAUAUUUGGCAUUAACCACCCCUUUCUAGAUGCUUGUUGAUUCUUGAGCAUACCUCCACUACCAUUUCAUGAGUAGACUCUUGUUGUGCUUGGUCAGGUCUCUAAUUACCCAGACCUCCUUGUUUUUUUGGUAUGAUCACUUUUGACCACUUCACCAGAUGGAAUUUAUGGCCUUCACUAUUUCCUUCCCGUAGGAAAGUUCUCCUGAUUUUGUCCAGUUGUUUCUGCACCUUGUUUGGCAUAGGAAGAGGAACAUAAUGCAAGUGGGAAUACUAUCUAGAACACUGCUAAUUAGUGUCAAUCUUCCACCCAUGGACAGAUACUGCAUUUUCCAUGUUGCCAAUUUUUCUACACUUUCUUUAUUGCUCCAUUCCAGAUCUCUGUUGCUUUGUACUUUGCUCCUAGAGGAAGGUCUAAGUAAGUUGUUGGAAACGAUCCUUUGAUCCAGCCCAUUAUGCUUGCCAGUUCCUCCAGAUUAGGUACUUCAUUCAUGGGGUAAACCAUGCUUUUCAACAUAUUGAUGUGCAGCCCUAAGAUUGCUUCAAAUAGUAGUAUUGUCAGGUUUAGAAACUGCACCUGAGAUCUCUCUGCCCCACAAAAGAUUAAAGUAUCAUCUGCAUAAAGCAAGUGAGUAAUUGUGUGACUGAGAAUCCUCAAGGGUUGGCCGGGUGGCAAUUGACUUGAGCCGUGGGGUUAGCUCCUUUUCAAGGUCUCAAGUUUGAAAUCCACUGGGUACAAACAAUUUUUGAGGGCCAUUGGACUGGGUAAAACUUGAAUUAACCGUGGUGCACUAGCGGGAAACUCCUUGCCGAGGGUCUGCACCCCCGGAAUUAGUCGGGGCUUGAAGAAACUCGGACACCCGGUGCAAAUUAGAAAAAAAAACUUUGACUGAGGUAGUUGCAUUGUUUCCCACCCCGAACCCUUAAAUCCACUGCAUUUGCUUUGCCUUGUCUAGCAUUUUACUCAGACCCUCCAUGGCUAGGAUGAAUAAGAAAGGGGACAAAGGGUCACCCUAUCUAAUUCCUUUUUGGGGAGAGAAAAGCCUACCGGAGAUCUAUUCACAAGAACUGAGUACUUGACAGUUGUGAGGCUGUACUUUAUCCAUUUGACCCAUCUUUCCCCCAACCCCAUACCGUUCAACAUUGAAAUUAGGUAGGACCAAUUGACUUUAUCAAAAGCCUUCUCAACAUCUAGCUUGCAAAGAAUUCCAGGAACCCCUCUUUUCAGUCUGUCAUCCAGCAGUUCAUUGGCUACAAGUGAGGCAUCUGUGAUUUGUCUAUUCUUCAGAAAUGCACUUUGCUCUCCAGAAACUAAUUUGGAAAUUACUGUCUUCAAUCUCUCAGCUAGAACUUUGCAAUAAUUUUGUAGAUACUUCUAAUGAGACUGAUAGGCCUAAAGUCCCGCAGAUCUAUUGCUCCUUCUUUUUGGGAACAAGAGCAAUGAAUGAAGCAUUACAGGAUCUGAACAUAUAGCAGUGUUGGUAAAAUUGGGUGAGAGCCCCCAUAAUAUCAGAUUUGAUAAAAGUACAUGCUUUUUGAUAGAAAGCCAUGGUAAAUCCAUCAGGACCUUGACUUUUAUCAGGUGCACAAGAGUUUAUUACUGCCAGCACUUCUUCCUCCUUGAAAGGUCUUCCAAGCCAUACUUUUUCAACUGAUGUUACGCCGUCCAACCCUUCAACGGUCAGUAGGUUUCUAUUACUCAUUCUUAGUGUACAGGUCUUGAUAAAAUCUUACGAUUUCAGCUUUGAUUUCAUCACUGUCUUCAUUUAAUUCAUCCCCGAUCAUUAGUUUAUCUAUACAGUUGUUUCUUCUGUGAGAGCUGGCCAUUUUUUGAAAAAAUUUUGUGUUCCUGUCUCCUUCUUUGAGCCACCAGCAUAUGGAUUUUUGUCUCCUUGUCACCUCUUCCGCCUUUGCCAUCUUUUUCAACUCAAGCUUUAAAUGCAUUGAUAGUUCCUUUUCAGCCUGAGACAUGAGUCUAUUUUUUGUUGUUUGCUCCAGCAAAGCUAAAUCAUCCAGAAGUCUGGUUUUUUGUGCUUCCAUUUGACUAAAGGUUGUUCUAUUCCCGUCUAUGAUGUUUUUUUUUCAAUCUUCUUAGCUUUUGCACUAAUAUGAAGUCUGGACUGCCCCCAAUUGAGUAACUGUGCCACCAUUCCUCAACUUUGUCCAUAAAACCUUCUACCUGGAGCCACAUGCUUUCAAAUUUGAAAUAGGAAGGGUUGGCUUCCCAAUCACCACAUUCCAGGAGUAGAGGCCUAUGAUCUGACUCAACUCUUGGUAGAGCCAGUUGUUUGAUUGCUUUAAAGUUGUCAUUCCAUUCUGGUGAUAUUAAAAACCUAUCAAUUCCGUAAGCUUGCAAGGAAUCCUCCCCCUAAACCAAGUGUAAUGAGCUCCUUGGAGGGGUAGAUCGAUGAUGCCCAAGUCUUGGAUGAUAUCUUAAAAAGUUUUCAUACCCUUGGACCUUCUGACACAGUUGUAUCUUUCACUUUCAUAUCUACAAACAUUGAAGUCUCCUCCUAUGAUCCAUUGAUCCUCCCAGAUGCCUCUGAUAGCUGCAAGUUCAUGCCAGAAGUUCUCCCUCUCUAUGUUGUUAUGUGGACCAUAAACCCCCGUGAAACACCACCCGAAGUCUUCUUGUGAGCUUUCUAGCAUACAAGAAAUACUGUAGAGACCUUGAUGUACUCCCUGUGGGACCAUUGCCUUUUAUCCCAAAGCACAAUGACUCUACCACUUCUCCUAAUUGAAUUCAAAGCUGCCCAUUCAAGCCAUCUGUUGCCCCAAACCUGUCUGAUUAAGAGAGCUGACCAAUCUUCUAUCUUAGUUUCUUGUGAGCAAACUGUAUAUCUGCUUUCCAUUUGUGAAUUAAUGACUUUAUUAUACUCCUUUUUUCUGCUUCAUUGAGACCCGCACAUUCCAACUAAUAAUUUUGAUCUUCAUCCGGAGAAUGCUUUGUAAUACCUGCCCCUAACCCCUUCCAUCUUGCCAUUAGAAUUCAUUCCCCAUUUCAAUCUUUCCAACUCUAAUGUUUGCUUCUUCUUACCCUUUGAACUUGACUUGAUUAAAGAUUCCUGCUUCAGGAUUUGCUCCUGUCUUUUUGCUCCAUGCGCAAGACCAUACCAAGAAUCUCAUGCUCAAACCCGGAAAAAUAGAUUCCAAAUGCCUUGCAUGCUUUGGCCAUCACUGAUUUGGUCCAUCGAGAAGUUCCAAUCACUGCUGGAGAACUGAUUGGUUGCAUACUAGGGGAACCCAGGUCAUACCAAGGGAGGGAGAGAGUUCCACAAGAAGAGAAAUCAGCUUCAGAACUACUCAGUGAUUCGAAUUGCUUUAGGAAUGGCUGCCCUGGAAUAAUUAACUUCAUCUCUUCUGCCUCAUCAUCUGCAUCUGAUGUUGUGUCACAAGCGAAGUCUCUGGCCAACUGGACUGCUCGCAGCCCUUCUAAGGCUUCUAUAUCAGCAGCGAUGGGGUCAAAUUGAUUUGCAAGAGUUAUAGGACUGUUUUUAUUAACACAUGGGUCUAUUAGAGGCCCAAUAGCCUGCCAUUUCACAUGUCCUUUUGCUUUUCGCUUGGUCUGUGGGCCUCUUUUGUAAUACACUUGUUCUAUCUUUUGGCCCAUAUUUUUGACAGCCUCUUUGCCUAACUUAUUAUUUACAAGUUGGGCUGGUCCAUGUGGCGGGUUGGGCCAAGUUUUCUUUUUCACCCCAUUUGAAUUAAAGUGGCUCGGUCGUCUAUGCUGCAGGUUAUUAACCGAAGGGUUUUCCCCUGUCAUCUUCAAUAGGCUCGAGGAAGCGAUGGCCGGCGGUAACUUUGACCCUGCUUCCACCAUUUUCCCUUUCUCUGAAGCUGCUACAACAUCUCCGUCCGAAAUAAUGUUUGAUAUUUGGUCCUCCAGAAUUGAGAUCUUGAAUCUCACAUCAUCAAUCUUCAGUUCCACUUCCUUUUGGGGGGGGGGGGGNNNNNNNNNNNNNNNNNNNNNNNNNNNNNNNNNNNNNNNNNNNNNNNNNNNNNNNNNNGGGUUUGGCUUUGCUUUGGACACAAAUUCUAGCCCAGUAAAAAUGAGUUCUGUGCUUAGUGUCUUCAUCCACAUCAAUAAAGCCUCCACAGAGCUCCCCGAUAUGAUGAAAAGAAUUUGUUGUCCAGCCAUGCAAUGGGAUACCAAAUGCUUUGACCCAUCUUUGACCAGUUUCAUUCUCCAUCGAAAAAGACCCAUAUUCCGGCGACCACCAUUCUAGGGGUAGGCGUCUUCCAUUUCAAAACCAAACACGUGCUUCAACUCUGGCUGCUUCUUGUUUGGAAGAUAGUUCAAAAAGAAAUUUGUUGUGAGCAAUAGGGGUGAUUCUGAGGACGGAUGUGAGAAACCAUUUCUGUAUGACUUAAGUGUUGGGACUUGAGUUGAAGGGAUCAUUGAAGCAGCCAACUAUGCAUUUUGCUAAAAAAUCUUUAGUUCCACCUAGGGUUUUAUCAUCCUACUGCUGUAGAGGCCAUUUUGAGAUUUCAGUAGCAGCUAUGAAUGGUCUUCUUUUCAGAUCUGUAAAUUCCUUGUAUUUGUAAAUUGAAGCUUCCCCAAGAAAGUGUAAUACUUUCCCUGCUAUGUCCCCCCAUCCCUUAUUGUGAACAACUUCUGGAAUGAUAAUUGCUUUCUUCCUGUCCCCUACCCAUACUUCAAUUCUGAGAUUUCUGCCAUAAUUAUUGUAGUUCUGAUAGACCCUAUUGACAUAGGCUUGAAUCUUCCUCCCCAUCUUCUGUAAAGAUUCCCAUAACCCCGCGAAGCUUGUUGCAUUUGCUCACAUACCCAUCUCAAGUUUUCUUCGUCAAUCUGAAUCUGGCUCGUGAAUCUACGACCACGUUCUAUCCAAACAUACCAUCUUUAAGUUCCCUCACUGUCUUCAAUAAGAUCAAAGGACUUAUCACCUGAAAUAAAAAAAGAUUUCCUCCCCAUAGAGUGAGAAAACUGGGGAGGGGGCUCGUCGGAGAGAGGAGUUUAGAAAGAGAAAAAUACAGGUGGCAGAUUUCCCAAGUCAGAACUCAUUUUUUAUGUAUCUCAAUCGAUUGGUUAUUAUCCUGUUGAUGCCGUAAGUUUGAUCCUUUACCAAUAGAUGUAGCUGGUGGGUUGUGAAGUUUUGUGUAGCUGACCCUUAUCAUUGUUAUGUAGUGUGAAACUUUUUUCUAUGUCUUAUUACUUAUUCUAGAGUUCUUUUUUGAAUUGAUCCUAGCUUCCCUUGUUUUCUCAUGUUAGGGAAUAACAGCUACUGGUGUGAAGAAAGAUCAAAUUUUUGUUGGUGAUAUAAGUACUCAAUAUAAGCUCGGAAGUACAAUUGUUGAUGUCAAAGUUGAUACCUACUCCAAUGUAAGAGCAGAAUGCCGGCCUCUAAGACCAAACAACUGUUUGUUUUCUUGAUAAUCUAAUAAGUGGUUAUGAGAUAUAGUUAACCCUUUUUUCUCUUCUUUAUACCUCUGACGAAUUGACUUCUCAUUGAAGUUUAUAUGUUAUCUUUUAUGCAGGUCUCAACUAAAGUUACUUUGGAUGAAGUUUUCCGAUCUGCAAAAGUGUCCCUUGGCUUCAACAUACCAGAUCACAAGUCUGGCAAGGUUAAUACUUGUGUUUACUCUGUAGUCUGUACUAGUCAAAAGAAUCUUUGCUCUGUUACUUAUUCCAACUCUCUCCUUCAAAUUUUCUAGCAAAGUAUUUUCAUGAUUGAAGGUGAACACCUUUUUCUGAUUGUUCCUCGAUAUUGUCGUCUGUCUGAUACACAUAUUUGUGCCAAAGAAUUAUAUUAGUGUGCAUGACAUCGCAGAUAUUAUGGCCAAAGAGACAAAUAAUAGAAUAAAAAAUAGCUGCUUUUCCUGAUAAAAAAAGCUGCUUUUCAAAAUAAUUAUUGCCAAUUUUGACAGAAUAGUAGUAAGUUUUACAAAGAGUUCCUUUUUUUUUUCAUUUUCACUUUUGACAUAAAUAAUUCCUUUUUGCAUAGAUAAAUGGUCGGCUUGAUAGAAGCUAAAGAAUAGCAUACCUACAUGAAUGCAUAUGCAGGAAGAUUUUAAUAUGUUUAUGUCACCAUCAUUGGUGAUUUAAUACAAGGAAAUUUGACUCAUCAGAAAUAGGUGAUAAGUUAUAGUUAGAGUUAGAAAAAGUAAAGAAAAACAAUAGAAAUGAAGCAGAUGACAACUGAUUUGAUGUGCUAAAAUUACUGUUUGUUUCACUGCAAAAAGAUUGUGAAAUCAUCUAUUAGCGUUGGAGACCAAAUGGUCGUUUUGACUCUCUCUCUCUCUCUCUCUCUCUCUCUCUCUCUCUCUCUCUCUCUCUCUCUCUCUCUUUUAGUAGCAGUAUUGGUGGUCAGAUACUGCGAUAAUUACUGGUAUUACAUAAUCAGCCUAACUGAUACAACAGCUCAUACGGCUACUGGUUUAUUUCUUUAUGACUUGUAUAUGGCUACUGCCUAGUAAACUCCAACUUAGUUAGUACAUCUUGGUGCGAGUAACAUCAUUCUGGUCGUACAGGUACAGGCAGAUAAUUGUUUGGUGAGUGAUUAGGUGUUAAUGGUGAACUAGCUGAUACCUGGUGAGAUGUCUCCUUGGCUGCUAGGUGAACUAAACUUAGGAAUACUGCCCGCUAAGAGUUAUUCUUAGAUAUUUUCAGUGCGUGCAAGUAAAUGAUGUAGUUCAAUUUAAUGUAUUAUCAUCCAUGACUUGUUCACCUUUCCUUGCGCAUCAUAAUGUUCAGAAUGUCACUGUGUGCAAUGUUUGCUGAGCCAUAAAGAGUUAGACACAUGUUCUUGAACAUUUCAUGGAUGUCGGACUUCUUUUUGUUUUCUUAUUCCCAAUCAGUAGUUUUUGGUGGAUAGCUUAUAAUGUGUGAAAUCUAGACUCCCUUGUUCACACGCCUCACUUGUCAAGUUGUCUUUGAAAGAAGAGAUAAUAUCAGAGGCUUUACUUUAUGUCCGAACGGGCGUACGUUUGGUGAAGACCCUUAUGUGGGUCCUGUGGAUUAGUAUUCUAUUAAUUUGUUUUUCAAUGUUGAUAUUUCAAUCUUUUUCUUUUUCAGAUGAUGCAAAUGUCAACAUGAUUAAAAUCUCUCAGUUUCUAAAUUAUAGUUGGGAUCUAUUUUCUGAUCUAGUAGAACAGGGAUAAAGCAGUUGAACCAAUUAUUUCAAUUAGGGGCGCAAGCUCUACUUGUUAAUAUUUAUCGUCUUACUCAUGCACAUGUUUGUGAGAGUUAAAUAUGUUGAUACCAUUAGUUGUUUGUGGUAUAGCCUUUUUUCCAAUUUCCUAAAUCUGUCCGAGGGUCGAUUGGAAACAGCCUCUCUGCCCUUUCGGGUAGGGGUAAGGCUCAUCUACAUAUUCCCCUCCCCAGACCCCACCUGGUGGGAGUAUACUGGGUAGUUGUUGUUGUUGUUGUUGUAAAGUGCUUAUAAGCUGGAAUUUAAUAAGUUGGAGGAGACCAACUUAUGGGUUUUGUCUUAUUUUUGACUUAUAAGCACUUUCAAUUUUACCAAACACGUAAAUACUGCAUUUUGUUUUGCUGAUAUAAAAAACCUGUAUUUCAUUUGGUUUGUGAACUCUUAUAAAUCUUUGGAGUCGUUUUUUGUAUUUUCAGCUUGAUGUUCAGUACCUUCAUCAACAUGCUGCCAUCAACUCCAGUAUUGGCUUAAAUCCUUCCCCUCUCUUGGAGCUCUCUGCUGCUAUUGGUAGCAAGGAUUUAGCCCUUGGUGGUGAAAUAGGUUUCAAUACUGCUUCGUCUUCUUUUACCAAGUGCAACGCAGGGAUAAGUUUUAACAGACCGGAUUUUUCUGCUGCACUUAUAUUGUAAGUAAUUGAAUUUUGUUCUUUGCUUGAUAUGCAUUUGGUGUUCUGAGUUCUCCAAAUGUGGUCCUGUCAGUUAUGCGAAAGUAGGACGCAAUCCAUUUGGUGUUUUGAGUUCUCCAAAUGUGGUCCUGCCAGUUAUGUGAAAGUAGGAUGCAAUCCAACUGCGGGACAUGCAGUUAUAUGACUUUUCUACACCAUGUUUCAUUUGCUUUUUGUUUCUUCCUGUUGUAUAAUGAUCUUCCUCAUCACUGUUGAGAUCAAAGGAUACUAAAGCUGUGCUUCUCUAUGUUAAUAAGAGUGAACACUCCAAUAAUACCCUUCUGUUCUGCAGGUUACUACCAAAGCAAAGACAUUUGUUGGAAUCCCAUAUCCGCUUAAGUGCAUGGACUAUAGUCUUCCUUAAGGUCUUUUCCAAUUCUAUCACUUGAGCUAAUUUUUGGGGUUGAGUUCGGCUCAAGAUACAUUUUCCCAACCUGGUGUAAUGGUGUCAAAGCCAGACAUAUCAUGAUGUUGGGCUAAAAAUGUUGGGCACCAGUGUAAUGGUACUCCACGCUCGACAUGUCCAGCUUUAAGCGUGCAAGAGGAGAGGUAGUGUUAUAACACCCGAUGCUAAGUAUAUGAGCUGUAGUGUCCUCAUGUAGCCUCAGACAUCUUCACCAUUGAGCUAGUUUCUGAGGUCUUAGUUAGGCUCAACAUUCAUUUUCUUAAUCGAAAUCUGGCUAUAAUACCAACUAUGUGUAUAAUAUAGACCUCUGGCCUAACUCAAUCAAAAAGUUUGCUUAAGUGGUUAGGAUUGGUUGAGACAAUACAAGAAGACUAUGUCCCAUGUAUAUUGGCGAUAUGGGAUUCUAACAUCAUUCACCAAAUAUUUCUCUGCCAAGCUUGAAUAUAACCUUCUUAGGAGAACUUUAGAAUAGCUGUGCACUGGAAAAUUUGAGAACAAUCCUAAGAUUAGAGAAACUAAUCUUUAGACUUUUUGGGAACAAUAAUUCGAUGUGGAAACUAGUUUUUACUUGCAUAAACAUCAGUCCAGAUUCCUAUGCGCCGAGGGUCGAUUGGAAACAGCCUCUCUGCCCUUUCGGGUAGGGGUAAGGCUNNNNNNNNNNNNNNNNNNNNNNNNNNNNNNNNNNNNNNNNNNNNNNNNNNNNNNNNNNNNNNNNNNNNNNNNNNNNNNNNNNNNNNNNNNNNNNNNNNGGGUAGGGGUAAGGCUCGUCUACAUAUUACCCUCCCCAGACCCCACCUGGUGGGAGUAUACUGGGUAGUUGUUGUUGUUGUUGUUGUAAACAUCAGUCCAGAAAUAAAAUUGCAAAUAGUAACACUCAAAAUUUAAAGUAAGGCCGAGUGAUUAGGUUUCCUAUUAAUUAACGAGGAAUUUAAGAAGCAAAAUGAAGUAUAUUGAACACCCAUUACUGAAUAAAAUUAAGGUGAAUCUGAAUUGUAAGUUCCCUAAUCAAUAUAACUGAAACAUAAAAUGGCUUUGUAUUUGUUGUCUGUCCCGUUGCUUCUACUUUAGGUCUCUAAACUGUGUCAAUAAUGUCUAGCCAAUCAAUUGCAUUACAUUGGACAUGUUGCUUAGAAUGUUAAAUCAGGUCAUAUAAAUAGGUUAGAAGGAGUAUAUAAAAUGCUCAAUAGAUCGUGCUAGCAAAGAAGAUCUCUCUGUCUUAUGUGCAAGCUGUAUGUAUGUUAUUGUCCUUUGUUGGGAUUAGGAAGAGAGCUGGUUAAUUUGAAACAUACAUCGAUUGUCUAAGGCAAUAUCUAAUUUUAUAUGGAUAGAAAGGUAAUGAAGCAAAACCUGGAGAUUCAAAGGAAAGUAAAGUAUCAGAUUAGCGAAUACAGAUGUUAUAUAUGAAAUUUGCUACCCAUCUCUGCUCUCCAAGCAUUAAUGACAGUUUUUCUAUUUCAAGAUUCUUAUUUAGUUGUAUUAAAAAGAAAUGUGCAACUGUGGUGUGAAUUUUUUGCUGCUUACUUUGCUGAAAGUGUGUAUUUCCUGUUGAAUAUAUAAAAAAAAAAAUUGUUAUCCAAAUUUCCUGAAUUGCACAUUUUUGUUGAAGCAUUUACAUCACUUGGGAUAUUAUAUUGGAUGACUAAAAUCUUGCCUAUCUGAGAUUAUAGUCUGUGGUGGCUUUGGAAAAUGAGGGGUUGUAUUUGGCAUUUCAAUUUUCAUUUGUUUCUUGAGCUCAUAAAGUGGGACAGAACUCCGGUUUUCCCUUCACUAGUUGGGGGAACCAUUGUUCCUAUGCUGCCGGGUUACCCAGUCCUUUCUUUAGUAAGAGUGCCUUUUAUAAUGCGUGUAGGUUUCUGCACAUUGCUCUGAUGUGGCUGAAGUUGCAUGCAUUGUCAAGGCUUCAAUUACCAUAUGGAUGUAGCAAGCUUUAGUCUUUUGCUUUUUACCCCCCUUUCAAUCCCUCAGCUGUUGCAUUUAAAUGCACUCAUCAUCAGCUUUAUUCGUUCAAUAAAUUAGAGAUUUUAACUUGUGCUUGUGCAACAUGUACAACAGUUCUUUCAUAUUUCUGAGUGUCUACUCUGCAAUAUUGUUGCUAUCCAUGUAGAACGGACAAGGGACAAGCUGUGAAGGCAUCAUAUGUACACUCUGUCAAUCCAGUAAGUGGAACUGAAGUUGCCGCGGAGAUGAUUCACAGAUUAUCUACCUAUGAGAACAGCUUCAGCAUCGGUAGUGCUCACAAAGUCGACCCAUUAACAUCUGUGAAGACUAGGUUUUCAGACAAUGGGAAGGUUGCAAUGCUUUGCCAGCGGGAAUGGAGGCCCAAGUCACUUAUUACUUUCUCAGCGGAGUAUGACACAAAGGCAAAGAAUGCAGUACCCAAGUUGGGUCUUGCCCUUGCUUUGAAGCCAUAAAAAGGUGCUAUCUCUAAUUCAACCAAUUUUUACUUGGUAGCUUGACGUUCAAAUUCUUUCGAAGGCCUGAAGUGUGGCCAUUACAUCUUUCCUCGCAUCAUUCCAGAGGACACUGGGAAAUCAAACCCAUUUUUGUCAGAUUCAUAUAAUGAUGAUAAAUUUGAAAGAAUACGUUACAGUAGCAUUGUUGCAUAAGGUUCUUCAAUGUCUACUGGCUUUCUAUUGCCUUGAAACUUGAUACUAUAUUUUUUUCUUUUACAAUGAAAUGUUUCUGAUGCCUCGUGCUUUCGCAAAAAGUGUUUGUUUUACUUAUAUUUGCUUCCAUCAUUUCUGGCAUCUCGUUCGGAUGCAUCUCUACAAAUUUUAGGAUUUUGUUUCACAAUUCUAUUUUUGUUAUAUUGAACAUGGACUAAUUACUCUUUACUGAGCUGGAAGCUGAUCAAAGAAAUCAUCAAUACAAGACAAGGGAUACAUAUUGUUGAUGGUAUGAUUAUGUUGAUCGAACGAGAUCGCUUCUUGCUUUUUUUAGCACCUUGACUCCCAUCUUACUUAACACAAGUCUUAUUUAGUGUUUUUUGGUUGAUAAUGAUGUAAUAUUCAAGAAAAUCAUGGAUGGGUAUAAAGUGAUGAACUUCGUAGUUAACAUCUUUAAGCUAUGUCAACGAGAUAUGUAAGUUGAUAAAGUAAACGAAGCACACAUAUGUAUGCCUAAUGAUUAAUAAAUCUCCACAAAAUUUAAUCCGCCAUAUGCAUCUUUAGAAUGGAAGUAGGUAAGCUGUACCAUCUGUUACACUGCGAUAACCAUAUCAAACUUUCGGCCUCUCUUUAAUUUUUUUCUAUACUAGGAGAUACCCAUAUUUGUUCCGGUUUGACAUUCCGGUCCUAGUACUUCAUAAAGUUUUAUUCUGACACUUGAACUCGAUAAAACUAAUAUUUUAAACACCUCUGAUCAUUGAUUAAGCUAAUGUGGCAUAAAUAUAAUUGAGGUGGACAAAAUGUUUGGUAUACACGCACAUAGUAAGUGCGAAAUGGUGGCUAAAUCAGAAAAUAACAAAAAAUUAAAAAGAGAAAGGAAAAAAAAAAGCAUGACAAUUCAUAUCACUCUCAACCCACCAACCUCUUCCAUUUUGGUGUUGGCAUCGCAGCCUUAUCCCAUUCCACCACCACCAUCUCCACGACUACUACCUCCUUCAACUCUGCCAUCAUCACCUUAACCUCCCUAAAUUUUAGAGUUGUUUUGAGCCAUUUCUUUUGCUGCCACCACUAUCACCUUUACUAUUGUUAGAUAUGUAAAUAUAGUAGAACUCUAAUUAUAGUAGAACCCUAAUCCAAUGUGUAUUAGGAGUAGCCUAAUCCAAUAUUUAUUAGGAGUAGGUUAGGUUAUAUGUAUUAUAUAUAGGGCUCAUUGUAUCCACAAGACCACAACUUGCUCUCCCAUUAACCCACAUUUCUCCAUUUUUACCUGUUUAAUCUGUUUUCAAGAUGAUGCAUUUAAGGCCUCCCAGAGAGUAAGAAACUGAUUAAAUGAGUUCUUCAGGAUAAAUGAGUAAUCUGUGAAUCUCUGAUUUGGUGUAGGCGGAUAAAUGACAUCAUUGUUCAGUACAAAGGCAGCUUUGUGCUUGAACUGCAGCAGAGAGCUAUUGAAUUUAACUCAGUAAUUGAGAGGCAUCAGAAUAUCAGGUUUGUUUGAUCUCAUUUAAAAGGUUGUUCGAUGCCUCUACUUUUGUUAUAGCUCACUCAUAGGAGUUUCUGGAUCAUGGAUGUAUGUUUUCAGGCCUUCACUUGUCGAAAGAAUGCCAGUUCUUGAUGAAGCAACCUACAGUGGAAAGAAGGCUGGCUCUUUGCCAGCAGCUGGAUCAACAUCUCAAGGAGUGUCAGUUAAUCUUCCAAAUGGAGUUGCCAAGCCUAGUGCUACCCCUCUUGUUGACUUGCUUGAUCUUAGUUCAGAUGAUGUAGCUGCACCUAGUUCUUCUGGUGGAGACUUUCUUCAGGAUCUUCUUGGUGUUGAUCUGGCGCCAGUUUCUUCACAAUCAGGUUAGUGUUGCUAUGUUCCAUUGCAUGAAUAUGGUUGCCUGAUUUGUAAUUCUGAUUUUCCUCAUAUUCUCAUCUUUCCCCUUAUAGCAAUUAAAUGUGUAUCCUUUGACCAUUCUUACUGUUAGAUAUGUAAAUAUAGUAGAACUCUAAUUAUAGUAGAACCCUAAUCCAAUGUGUAUUAGGAGUAGCCUAAUCCAAUAUUUAUUAGGAGUAGGUUAGGUUAUAUGUAUUAUAUAUAGGGCUCGUUGUAUUAUGUUUAAUUUCAGUUAUAUUUUUCUCCCGUGCUUUCUCACAACUAUGACACAGAAUCGCCUCCUCUUCUCCCUAUUUCUCCAUCAAUUUACUCCGAAUAGGAAAAUGAAUAAUACAAAAAUCUGAUUAUUUGAAGUGUUGGUAUUUAUUUUGGAUGAAUUUUUGGAGUUUUCAAAUGGAUUGAGCUUAACAAAUUUGCUUCUCAAAGGCAAUAUACCACCAACAUAAUUUAGACCUUUACAAGCCUUUUUGUCCAUAGAUUUCAUGGCCUUAAGCAAUUCAAUCCUCCUUUGAUAUUUUCUUUUCAUUAUCCUUAAAGAUUAAAGAGUUUACGCUAUCAACAAAAUUAGUUGUUGAAUUAUUACUUUUGGUGCAUAAUUUGGAUGGGUACACUGAGUGGAUUUGGGAGUUUUGACUUCUGUAACUUGGAAAAAAUAGAGUAGAAAGAGCAGGUUAAAUAGAGAAGGAAACCUUGAAGGAUGGAAGAAGUAGCUUGUCACCAUUUAAGAAUUUGUGAGCUUUCAAGGGUGAAAAUGUUGUUGAUGGGUAAAAGGCAAAGAGAUGAAAACGUAGAGAGAGAAGAAAUAGUGUGCGGUCUAUUUUUUUUUUUGGGAAAAAAAAAUUGAUUUGACAAUUUUAUUAACAUUAAAUUAUGAUAUGGAUGGUAUUUAUCAAGGUGGAUCUGAUGUGUCCUCCAUAUCAUGGAGAGUGAACAACACACAUGGUCGGAGGUGUUUAAAAUAUUAGUUUUGAUGGAGUUCAAGUGUUUGAAUGAAACUUUAUGAAGUCCAAGGACCGGAAUGUCAAAUCAGAACAAGUAGAGGUGUUUCCUAGGCUAUUAUGCCAAAAUACAUUAUUAAAAGGGGAAUUUUGGAGCAACGAUAAAUUUGUCGUCGUGUGACUUAUAAUCACAUGUUCGAACGUGAAAGUAACUAUUAAUACUUGCAUUAGGGUAGACUUUCUACACCAUACUCCUAGGAAUGUGAUCCUUUCUCAAAUCUUGCAUAAAUACUAUGUGCUUUGUGCACCAGACUAUCCUUAAUAAAAAUACAUUAUUUCAUAUGUUAGUGUAUUUUAAGUUAUGUUUUGACUAGUCAUUAUGUUAGGUAAACAUGUACAAUUGAGUGUAAUAUCUCAUAUGAACCUCUAUCCAAAUGUGGGGUCACAUACUCCCACAAUAAUUAAUAUAUAUAUAUAUUGUUGUGCAAAAACCAACACCACCACAAGGUUCCCAAGGGAAUUCCGACCAAACCCCAGAAAAUAUCACCGGAGAAUAACCCCCCACGCGCCUCCACGCGCCCGCCGUAGUUCUGCCGGCGGCGGCGCGUCUGUGCCACGCGCCGGCAAACAACAAUAGAACACUAGCGAAAAGGGUUUGUUACUAGGCUAACAAUGAUAACUCGUUUUUGUCAAAUGAUUAUGCUUGUAGAAUAUUUGGACAUGAUUGAAUUUAAAUUAAAAAAGAGAAGUAUUUGAAGUUGAAGUGUGUCAAUUGUGUUUAAUUUGAACCUGAAUUUCAGUUAAAAAAAAGUCAGAAAUUUUGCGAGGAAAAAUUAGAAAUAGAAAAAGAAUUAGCUCAAAUAACCCUUCACCUAAUCUCUUUAAUGAUAAAUAACCAACGGAUAUAUAAUAUAUGUAUAAUUCGUAUAUAAUAUACGUAUAAUUGUAUGUAAUUAAUAUACAAUCUAUAUAUACAAGCUAAAAAAUAUAACAUUGAAUCUGGUUGACUAUUUGUCACGAUCCCCGUGAUGGCGCCUACUAAGCAAGGCAAGCCAAACUUAAUUCCUUUUCAUUAAACACAUAUUCCUUUUAGUAAUUUAACAAACAUAAAAAUAGAAUCAACGGAAUUAAAAUCAUAAGCAGAAUUCUUAAAUUAAAUUAGCUGAAUAAAAAUACGGAGUUUUCAACAUAAUCUCUACCCAAGAACUAGAGUAACAUACUCACGAACAUCUAAGAAUACUAAGUAUAAAUUCUGAAAGAAACAUAAAUAUGUUUAUCUCGAAUACAAGGAGAUUACAGUCUAAAAUAAGAAUAGAGGAUACGCCGGGACUGCGGGCGCCUGCAAGGCUACCUCGGGUCUCACUAGGCUGAAAGUAUGCUCCCACGCUACUGUUGCACCUACUGCUCGAAACCUGGAUCUGUGCAAAAAUCGCACAGUAUGUAGUAUCACCACAACCGACCCCAUGUGUUGGUAAGUGUUUAGCCUAACCCCGACGAAGUAGUGACGAGGCUAGACUGGACUACCACAUACAACAACAACUCAGUAUAAUCCCACUUAGUGGGGUAUGGGGAGGGUAGUAUGUACGCAAACCUUACCUCUACCCUUGGGUAGAGAGGCUGUUUCCAAAUAGACCCCCGGCAUCCUUCCCUCCAAGAACUUCCCACCUUGCUCUUGGGGAGACUCGGACUCACAACCUCUCGGUUGGAAGUGGGGGUUGCUUACCAUCAGAGCAACCCCUCUUGCUUACC
rnacentral:lncRNA from 1 species